CAGGAUGAACGCUGGCGGCGUGCCUAAUACAUGCAAGUCGAACGCACAGCGAAAGGUGCUUGCACCUUUCAAGUGAGUGGCGAACGGGUGAGUAACACGUGGAUAACCUACCUCAAGGUUGGGGAUAACAUUUGGAAACAGAUGCUAAUACCGAAUAAAACUUAGUAUCGCAUGAUACCAGGUUAAAAGGCGCUACGGCGUCACCUAGAGAUGGAUCCGCGGUGCAUUAGUUAGUUGGUGGGGUAAAGGCCUACCAAGACAAUGAUGCAUAGCCGAGUUGAGAGACUGAUCGGCCACAUUGGGACUGAGACACGGCCCAAACUCCUACGGGAGGCAGCAGUAGGGAAUAUUGGUCAAUGGGUGCAAGCCUGAACCAGCCAUGCCGCGUGCAGGAAGACGGCCUUCUGGGUUGUAAACUGCUUUUACCAGGGGAUAAAAGGCCCAUGCGUGGGACAUUGAAGGUACCUGGUGAAUAAGCCACGGCUAACUAC
rnacentral:rRNA from 1 species